AAGUAUAAAAAUCUCACCUUAUCUCAGAAGCUAAGAAGGGUUGGGCCUGGUUAGUACUUGAAUGGGAGACCACCUGGGAAUACCAGGUGCUAUAUUAG
rnacentral:rRNA from 1 species